UACCUGAAAGGUAAUAAUUAAGGUGAAUAGAAAUUUGUACAAGUGGUAUCAUUAAAAUAAGUAAAUAAAAGUAAACUAACUUACAUGAUUUACUUCAACAAAUGAUGACGAACAACAAAGAAGGGAAGGGCAAAUGGAACUCCAAAGAAGGCAAUGAAAUACGCAAGAAGUUUGUAUCUGUGUCCGUGAAUGCUGAAUGGAAGAUUCUGCAAAAAACAAUUUUAUUAUGUUAUACAUAUAAUCAACAAUUUCAUUUCCAAAAAUGAUAUUCAAACAAAGAAUCUGAGCUUGAUUUGUGACAUCCAGAUUCCAAUAAAUAAUUUUAUUUUAAAAAGUCGCAAUGCGAACGCAGUUAUGCAAUAAUAUAUUAUUUGUUUUCCUUUUUACUUACAGAACCGGGAAAACCUUCAGGUUCGUCAUGACCACUUCUACGUAUUGCAGAAGUUCUGAAACUUCUCAGACACUGUUGGAAAGCUGCUCUUGGUGCAGACAUUUUGCUAUGUGUUGUACCGUACGAUACUCCAAAUCGUCUGAAGUAAAAUGGCGAGAGUUGAGAGUUCGUUUAUUCUGUGGAUCUUUAAGGCGAGUUCACUUUGCAUCGGUAACUUAGCUGUUUUAGGGAAAGGGACGUAGAUCGGAGCGAAAGGAUACGCCCCUGACAGUAGGGGAAAGAGAAGUGGGGGGGGGAAACAGGGCUGGCCCUGGGCCUAGGCAGACUAGGCACCCGCCUAGGGACCCUGUAAGACGAUUUUGCGUUUAAGAAUGGGCCCUUUUUCGGAGCUCGCCUCAGACCCCUAAAAUCUCAGUGCCGGCCCUGGUGAAAAACGAUAAUAUGCGUGUUGGAAUCAUUGGAAUGGAUGGAAAAAAGGAAUUCGGUCGAUAAUGCAAGGAUGUAAUAUUUUUAAUCAAAAAAUUGUAUUAGAAGCGGUUGUAAAAAUUAUAUUAUAUUAAUAAAUUUUAUUUAUGAUA